rnacentral:sRNA from 1 species
AUUCUCUAUCUUCCUCAAAUGAGCUAUUGGUACAGGAUAGGCUUGCCUUGAGUUGGACAGCACCAAACAAGGCAGAGUAACCCAGUCACAUCCAUCCCUCGCUGCCGAAAACGUCCACUCUCCGGACAACCGGAACAUUAUCGCCCAAUUGAGAGAUCCUGCAAAAGCAAGGUCGCCAGUAUGGGAUUUCCUUAUUCGGCUGAGCGAUUAAAUCCUGUCUGUACGACUUACGAUAAAAUGAAUGACAAAAAUAAAUAAUAAAAACCACUAGGGAAGAUGGGCCGACGAGACUUGAUUCCUGACGAGCUACUAGUCGACGCUGCCGUGCUAUUUCGUGAUGGGAAUCCAAUGGUCAGUCCUUGAGAAGAUCUGUGAAAAGUGUCCUUGGAUGUGUGAGGGGGUGGUAGAAGUGACGGUAUCACACCCGCAUGCUACGUAGGAACCGGUUCGGUGACAAAAAGGUGUUUCAGCUGGGAAAGAAGGUUUACUAAACUGAACAUUAGAAUGCAAUAUGAGGAGAGCCAUCUUGAUACCUAUGGCCUUCCCCCUUUGCUAACUCGAUAGCUAAAAGGAAAGUACCUCAUUGCGGCACUGAGUUUUGGGGACCCGAGGAACGACAAGAACCCUGAAUCAACACAUCGACGGCCAUAUAUGCCUGGGGGGAAAAGUGCCAGGAAAGUUACUGCGAGAGGGUUUUGGAAUCAGCCUCUGUACCUAGGUGACCCUUGAGGAGGUUCUGUUAGAGGAAGCAUCCAUCUACAACAUCAAGGAGCUUCACCACCACGACGAGGAAAUCAGCAAAAUGUUUUGACUGAAUAUCCCUCAUCCUUUACGUGGCCUUCCUUCUGGCUCUGAGAGG